AAAUGAAAAAGCCAAACUUGUUGUGAGACAGGGACGGAAAGUUAUGGGACUUUAGAAUAUCAAGUUUACCAGACUGCCAUA
rnacentral:ncRNA from 1 species